rnacentral:rRNA from 1 species
AGGACGAACGCUGGCGGCGUGCUUAACACAUGCAAGUGGAGCGACGAACCAGGGCUUGCCCUGGGGCAGAGCCGCGAACGGGUGAGUAACACGUGGGUUACCUGCCCCGAAGACUGGGACAACACCGGGAAACCGGUGCUAAUACCGGAUAUCCCUAUCGGACCGCAUGAUCUGAUAAGGAAAUGGAUUCCGCUUCGGGAGGGGCUCGCGGCCUAUCAGCUAGUUGGUGAGGUAAUAGCUCACCAAGGCAUCGACGGGUAGCUGGUCUGAGAGGACGAUCAGCCACACUGGGACUGAGACACGGCCCAGACUCCUACGGGAGGCAGCAGUGGGGAAUCUUGCGCAAUGGGCGAAAGCCUGACGCAGCAACGCCGCGUGGAGGACGAAGGCUUUCUGAGUUGUAAACUCCUUUCAGCAGGGACGAUUGUGACGGUACCUGCAGAAGAGCACCGGCCAACUACGCGCCAGCAGCCGCGGU